GCGCGAGCCCGCGACCUUUGCCGUGCCCCUCCCGCUGGCCGUAGCCGAUGAGGGUGCCCUCUGCGCGCCUGCGCAGGCAGAUAUCCGAAAAUAUCAAUUGCGCGCUACAAUUAUUGUAUUAUGUUUAAUAUUCCACAUGCACGAGGGAAAACUCAAGACUGCACACGAUUUUGCGCAAGGGAAAAAGGUGCUGUGUGUAUAAUUGCCAAUGUGCGCUGAUGUCACUUCGCAGGUGAAAACGUGCAGGGCACAAAACAAUAGCGAAAGAACCGCCACUCAGGCCCGAGACUUCAGCGAAGUCAGAGAGAGAGACUUUUUUUUAUAUUAUUGCGAUUUUGGAGCUAUUUAUAGUGUAUUUAUUUUAUAUCAUUACCUUUUUGUACUGUGAGGCGGUGGAACACGACAUCGGGAACAUCAGAAACGCCAUAUAUAUUAAGUACGAGGGUCCUUGUUAUCCUCAUCGAAACCGAAUGGCUGAAUUGAAGGGGAUUUGACAUGGAAGGAAGGAGAGUGAGAGACCGUGCCUCAGAGAGAAAUCAGGCUAAAAGGCUUACUCUGAGGGAAUCAGAAGACAGCUCCAUGGAGUUUCGGGAGCGGUGUCGUACCACUGCUCGCUGGAUGAAGAAGGCCAACAUACCUGGAAGAGGCAAUCUUUACGUCAUCCGUACAAAAAUCCCGCUCCCUCCUCACCUUCCUCGCCCUUUGCACACCCUUCCCCAACACUCACUUGGUGGAUAAGGUGUUGAUCGAUCCUGUGGCGACCAUGACCAACGCCAG